GACAGAGGGUGCAAACGUUGUUCGGAAUUACUGGGCGUAAAGCGUGCGCAGGCGGCCUUGCAAGUCGGGCGUGAAAUCCCACGGCUCAACCGUGGAAGUGCACUCGAAACUGCUCGGCUAGAGUCUUGGAGAGGAAGGCGGAAUGCUUGGUGUAGAGGUGAAAUUCGUAGAUAUCAAGCGGAACACCGGUGGCGAAGGCGGCAUCCUGGACCGAUAUUGACGCUGAUGCGCGAAAGCCAGGGGAGCAAACGGG
rnacentral:rRNA from 1 species